UUUUUGUAGUUUGCUCAUCUUUAAUAAAUAACUAAAACGGUCUAGAAAAUUAAGGACGUCUUUGACCGUUGCGCCUUUUUUAGCGUUUCAUGUUGUUUGUUAAAUUAAAACAAGUUAAACUUUUAAAAACGUAAAUAAACGAAUAUGUACACAAAUAAAUAAAUGUAGAAUAUUUAAGUUAUAGUUAUCGAUGUAGAAUGCGCCAUUGGCCUCGAUAUAUUUUUAGGUAUUUGAUGUUAUUUAUUUAUUUAUUGUUUGUUUGUAGGGCUAAGCAAGUUAUUUCUUCCAGCCCUAGCAAUAUUUCUGAUUUGUAAUAAUAGAUGAGUGCAUCAAAGUCAAUACAUUGUUGUUAACAUACAUUUGAAGCAUAUGAUCAGAUGCAUUGAAAAAGGUCAAAUCUAAACACACACACACACACACACACACACACACACACACAAAUAUUUAAGACUCAAAUCAAUGUGCGUCCCAAACCCCCAAAAUCAGAAGGUCCCCACAUGAAUCAGUGAUCCAACUACAAACCCAGGCUUGGUUUGCAACAGAUCAGGCUUACAGACACGUUUGGGAUUCAUAUUCUUCUUUUUAAUAAAGGGACUGUUAGAUAUUUUGACACAAACAAUUAAGAGCAAAGGUUGGAAGGCAGGCAGAAUUGAGAAACACAAGCCACUGAGGCCAGACAGGACAGGCAAAUUAAUGCACAAGAGUAAUUGAAGGCAUGACUGGAACAGACAGGGUCCCGAUGACUGCGAAUAGACAACAUCAGUGAGAAUGUUCAGGCUCUGCAAACACAUGACAAGACAAAAUUGAAGCUCCAUCAGAUGGAGUGAGGAGGGAUUUAAGGCACAGUUUGUUGUGUUGCUAUAAAUCAGGUUCAGCACAUAAACGACAACAAUGUUUCCAUCAAAGCAGGAAUCAACAGCAUUACAAUAAAGCUGUAAGAUACAAUGUUACAAAAACUGAUUUGCUCUUUGUGCUCACUGCAUGCUACUUUAUUUUGCUGAUAAUUUUCUACAUGUUCAGAAACACUAAAAAGACACAGCUGAUGCGUUUAUCAGUCCAUUAAGUGAUUUAUUCACAUGAGUAAUGUGGACUAGCACACAUUCAAGCUUGAUUGAUUUUUGCAAUAAAAACUAAAAUUAUUUUCA
ensembl:lncRNA